rnacentral:rRNA from 1 species
CUUUCAGUUAUAAUUAAACUUACACAUGCAAGUCUCCCACUCCAGUGAAAAUGCCCUUUAUCUUCCAACUAUUAGAAGAAAAGGAGUUGGUAUCAGGCUCAAAUAGCCCAAGACACCUAGUUUAGCCACACCUCCAAAGGACUUCAGCAGUGAUUAACAUUAAACAUUAGCGCAAGCUAAAUUUAGUUAUAAUUAAUAUGGUCGGUUAAUUUCGUGCCAGCCACCGCGGUUAUACGAAAGACUUAAACUGAAAGCCACCGGCGUAAAGCGUGAUUAAGGGUAAAAAUUUUUCUAAAGCUAAACUCUGAUUUAAUUGUUGUAAGUUAUUAUCAGUUGGAAACUCAUUCACGAAAGUAGCUUUAUCACUCCUGACUUCACAGUAGCCAAGACCCAAACUGGGAUUAGAUACCCCACUAUGCUUGGCCCUAAACUUUGAUAAUUACAUUUCUC